AGUUCAGGGAGGUAGUGACAAUAAAUACCUUACAGAGGUCUCGUUAACCGAGAUCUCUCAAACGGAAUGAGUACAACGUGAAUCCUUUAACGAGGAUCGACUGGAGGGCAAGCCUGGUGCCAGCAGCCGCGGUAAUUCCAGCUCCAGUAGCGUAUAUUAAAGCUGUUGCGGUUAAAAAGCUCGUAGUUGGAUAUCAGUGCGUGUCCGGUCCGGUAUGCCCGGCGGUGGCGUUCGCGCGUCGCUGCUGGGCUCCCAAAUAUCGGCUGGCCGCAUUCAAUCGUGCCGGAUCCGUCGGCGGGCCGUUCUUCGUAGGGGCCUGUUGGCGGCCGGCGAGGUUACCUUGAACAAAUUAGAGUGCUCAAAGCAGGCUCUGAAUGCCUGUAUACAUAUUCAUGGAAUUGGAGAAUACGUCCCUGGCUCGAUUUGGUUGGUUUUGCGAGUCGAAGGGAAAUGAUUAAUAGGGACUGACGGAGGCAUUCGUAUUGCGACGCGAGGGGUGAAAUCCUGUGACCGUCGCACGACGAACUACUGCGAAAGCAUUUGCCGAGAAUGUUUUCAUUAGUCAAGAACGAAAGUUAGAGGUUCGAAGGCGAUCAGAUACCGCCCUAGUUCUAACCGUAAACGAUGUCGACCAGCAAUCCGCAACGGUCACUACACGGACUGUGCGGGCAGCUUCCCCGGGGAAACCAGAGUUUUUGGACUCCGGGGGAAGUAUGGUUGCAAAGCUGAAACUUAAAGGAAUUGACGGAAGGGCACCACCAGGAGUGGAGCUUGCGGCUUAAUUUGACUCAACACGGGACAACUCACCAGGCCCGGACACCGUAAGGAUUGACAGACUGAUAGCUCUCUCUUGAUUCAGUGGGUGGUGGUGCAUGGCCGUUCUUAGUUGGUGGAGUGAUUUGUCUGGUUUAUUCCGAUAACGAACGAGACUCUGGCCUAUUAAACUUGACACUGUCCGUCUACUGUGACGGCG
rnacentral:rRNA from 1 species